rnacentral:piRNA from 1 species
AUAUAGUUUUCACAUGGCAUAGACAAAAGAGA